UUUUGGACAAUGGGGGAAACCCUGAUCCAGCAAUGCCGCGUGAGUGAAGAAGGCCUUCGGGUUGUAAAGCUCUUUUGUCAGGGACGAAACACCGGCUCUAACACAGUCCGGGAAUGACGGUACCUGAAGAAUAAGCACCGGCUAACUACGUGCCAGCAGCCGCGGUAAUACGUAGGGUGCAAGCGUUAAUCGGAAUUACUGGGCGUAAAGCGUGCGCAGGCGGUUAUACAAGACAGGCGUGAAAUCCCCGGGCUUAACCUGGGAAUGGCGCCUGUGACUGUAUAGCUAGAGUGUGUCAGAGGGGGGUAGAAUUCCACGUGUAGCAGUGAAAUGCGUAGAUAUGUGGAGGAAUACCAAUGGCGAAGGCGAGCCCCCUGGGAUGACACUGACGCUCAUGCACGAAG
rnacentral:rRNA from 1 species